GACUCUGGAGAAUCUCAUCUGCCUGUACAGGAGGGCGGUGAGUGCCGAAGGUGCAAGAUAUACAAAGGGUAUAUUUAAUCUCUCAGGCAAAAGGACGGAGAAG
rnacentral:ncRNA from 1 species